rnacentral:rRNA from 1 species
GGCUCAGGAUGAACGCUGGCGGCGUGCUUAACACAUGCAAGUCGAACGGUGAAGCCCAGCUUGCUGGGUGGAUCAGUGGCGAACGGGUGAGUAACACGUGAGCAAUCUGCCCCUGACUCUGGGAUAAGCGCUGGAAACGGCGUCUAAUACUGGAUAUGAACCGUGGAGGCAUCUUCAACGGUUGGAAAGAUUUUUUGGUCAGGGAUGAGCUCGCGGCCUAUCAGCUUGUUGGUGAGGUAAUGGCUCACCAAGGCGUCGACGGGUAGCCGGCCUGAGAGGGUGACCGGCCACACUGGGACUGAGACACGGCCCAGACUCCUACGGGAGGCAGCAGUGGGGAAUAUUGCACAAUGGGCGCAAGCCUGAUGCAGCAACGCCGCGUGAGGGAUGACGGCCUUCGGGUUGUAAACCUCUUUUAGCAGGGAAGAAGCGAAAGUGACGGUACCUGCAGAAAAAGCGCCGGCUAACUACGUGCCAGCAGCCGCGGUAAUACGUAGGGCGCAAGCGUUAUCCGGAAUUAUUGGGCGUAAAGAGCUCGUAGGCGGUUUGUCGCGUCUGCUGUGAAAUCCCGAGGCUCAACCUCGGGUCUGCAGUGGGUACGGGCAGACUAGAGUGCGGUAGGGGAGAUUGGAAUUCCUGGUGUAGCGGUGGAAUGCGCAGAUAUCAGGAGGAACACCGAUGGCGAAGGCAGAUCUCUGGGCCGUAACUGACGCUGAGGAGCGAAAGGGUGGGGAGCAAACAGGCUUAGAUACCCUGGUAGUCCACCCCGUAAACGUUGGGAACUAGUUGUGGGGUCCAUUCCACGGAUUCCGUGACGCAGCUAACGCAUUAAGUUCCCCGCCUGGG